UACGAAGGGGGCUAGCGUUGUUCGGAAUUACUGGGCGUAAAGCGCGCGCAGGCGGUUCUUCAAGUCAGAGGUGAAAGCCCAGAGCUCAACUCUGGAAUGGCCUUUGAGACUAGAGAACUAGGGUACGGGAGAGGUGAGUGGAAUUCCGAGUGUAGAGGUGAAAUUCGUAGAUAUUCGGAAGAACACCAGUGGCGAAGGCGGCUCACUGGCCCGUUACCGACGCUCAGGCGCGACAGCGUGGGGAGCAAACAGG
rnacentral:rRNA from 4 species